rnacentral:rRNA from 1 species
GACGAACGCUGGCGGCGUGCCUAAUACAUGCAAGUAGAACGCUGAAGGAGGAGCUUGCUUCUCUGGAUGAGUUGCGAACGGGUGAGUAACGCGUAGGUAACCUGCCUGGUAGCGGGGGAUAACUAUUGGAAACGAUAGCUAAUACCGCAUAAUAUUGACUAUUGCAUGAUAGUCAAUUAAAAGGUGCAAUUGCAUCACUACCAGAUGGACCUGCGUUGUAUUAGCUAGUUGGUGGGGUAACGGCUCACCAAGGCGACGAUACAUAGCCGACCUGAGAGGGUGAUCGGCCACACUGGGACUGAGACACGGCCCAGACUCCUACGGGAGGCAGCAGUAGGGAAUCUUCGGCAAUGGACGGAAGUCUGACCGAGCAACGCCGCGUGAGUGAAGAAGGUUUUCGGAUCGUAAAGCUCUGUUGUAAGAGAAGAACGAGUGUGAGAGNGGAAAGUUCACACNGNGACGG